AGUUGCAGGGUAUAGACCCGAAACCCGGUGAUCUAGCCAUGGGCAGGUUGAAGGUUGGGUAACACUAACUGGAGGACCGAACCGACUAAUGUUGAAAAAUUAGCGGAUGACCUGUGGCUGGGGGUGAAAGGCCAAUCAAACCGGGAGAUA
rnacentral:rRNA from 1 species